rnacentral:rRNA from 1 species
GAGGGGGCAUUCCGUAGCUAGCGGACGAGUGAAGCGGGAAGAGCUCAAAUUUGAAAUCUGGUAGCCUUCGGCUGCCCGAGUUGUAAUCUAGAGAAGUGUUUUCCGUGCCGGCCCAUGUACAAGUCCCUUGGAACAGGGCGUCAUAGAGGGUGAGAAUCCCGUCCUUGACAUGGACCCCCGGUGCUUUGUGAUACACUUUCAACGAGUCGAGUUGUUUGGGAAUGCAGCUCAAAAUGGGUGGUGAAUUCCAUCUAAAGCUAAAUAUUGGCGAGAGACCGAUAGCGAACAAGUACCGUGAGGGAAAGAUGAAAAGCACUUUGGAAAGAGAGUUAAACAGUACGUGAAAUUGUUGAAAGGGAAACGAUUGAAGUCAGUCAUGCUCUUUGGAUUCAGCCGUUCUGCGGUGUAUUUCCAUUGAGUGGGGUCAACAUCAGUUUUGACCGCUGGAUAAAGGCACUAGGAAGGUAGCACUCUCGGGUGAACUUAUAGCCUAGCGUCAUAUACAGUGGUUGGGACUGAGGAACGCAGCAUGCCUUUAUGGCCGGGAUUCGUCCACGUACAUGCUUAGGAUGUUGACAUAAUGGCUUUAAACGACCCGUCUUGACCACCGAAACCCAA